UACGGGGGGGGCAAGCGUUGUUCGGAAUUACUGGGCGUAAAGAGCUCGUAGGUGGUUUGUCGCGUUGUUCGUGAAAUCUCACGGCUUAACUGUGAGCGUGCGGGCGAUACGGGCAGACUAGAGUACUGCAGGGGAGACUGGAAUUCCUGGUGUAGCGGUGGAAUGCGCAGAUAUCAGGAGGAACACCGGUGGCGAAGGCGGGUCUCUGGGCAGUAACUGACGCUGAGGCACGAAGGUCAGGGGAGCAAACGGG
rnacentral:rRNA from 1 species